rnacentral:rRNA from 1 species
AUUGAACGCUGGCGGCAGGCUUAACACAUGCAAGUCGAGCGAUGAAGCUCCUUCGGGAGUGGAUUAGCGGCGGACGGGUGAGUAACACGUGGGUAACCUGCCUCAUAGAGGGGAAUAGCCUUUCGAAAGGAAGAUUAAUACCGCAUAAGAUUGUAGUACCGCAUGGUAUAGCAAUUAAAGGAGUAAUCCGCUAUGAGAUGGACCCGCGUCGCAUUAGCUAGUUGGUGAGGUAACGGCUCACCAAGGCGACGAUGCGUAGCCGACCUGAGAGGGUGAUCGGCCACAUUGGGACUGAGACACGGCCCAGACUCCUACGGGAGGCAGCAGUGGGGAAUAUUGCACAAUGGGGGGAACCCUGAUGCAGCAACGCCGCGUGAGUGAUGACGGUCUUCGGAUUGUAAAGCUCUGUCUUCAGGGACGAUAAUGACGGUACCUGAGGAGGAAGCCACGGCUAACUACAUGCCAGCAGCCGCCGUAACAC